UGUGUGCGCGUGUGCGAGGCUACGACGCAGCCAUGUGCGCGACGGAUGAAUGUAUCGCUGAGGAAUGUACAGAACGCCUCCCCCACACUUCCAGAGCCCUCCACCCCCUUCUAUGGACUCCUUCCAUAGGGGGGAAGUAACAUAAAGUUGGGAGAGUCCAUCAUUUCCUAUGUUAGUUAGUGCACGUGGGCCAGAUUUAACCAAGUGCAGCGCUAAAACUCUUAUUUUAUUUUUUUUUGUGGGGUGUAUAUCGGGUAGGUUUAAGUAUGUUGUCGGCAGUUAGUGCUCAAUUUCAGGUUGUUGUUGGCCUCGCUCAAGUAAAGUCGUCGCCAGGGCUCUCCCAAACCCACUUAUGCUACACAAUCUCUGGAUUCUGUCAACUGGGUUUCAAGAUUGUAUUCUUUGUCAAUUAUUCCUCGCUGUAAACUGUUCGUAAAAUGACUUUUAAGUAACCACACUCUUCGUGAUCUGAUCCAACCCAAAGCAGACAGAAACGUGGGCUGUUGCACUUCAAGAUUUCACACUUGUACUUUUGUCUAUAGUACUGCAAUAAAAUGUGCAGGACUUUUUUUUUUUUGGAAUGUGGACAGCACAUACCGUGGAAUGGAUUAGUCUGCUAAUGUGUGGACUGAAACUGUUAUUUUUUUGUUCUUGUGGAAAUAUUGACAAUGCAAAUUUGUAUGAUCUAUGAGCUUGUUUAGGGUAAAUGCUUGUGAUUGGGUAAUUUACAUCGCAGGUGUGGAUUCAUUAGAUUUUGAAACUGGCCCUGAAAGUUCUUUCCUGUAUUUAAUGUUUUGUUCUGUCAUUCAAUUGCAACGUUUCAUAAAGAUUAUUUUGAAAGAC